GACGAACGCUGGCGGCGUGCUUAACACAUGCAAGUCGAACGAUGACGACCGAGCUUGCUCGGUCUGAUUAGUGGCGAACGGGUGAGUAACACGUGAGCAACCUGCCCUUCACUCUGGGAUAACCUCGGGAAAUCGGGGCUAAUACCGGAUAUGAGCUCCUGUCGCAUGGCGGGUGUUGGAAAGUUUUUCGGUGAAGGAUGGGCUCGCGGCCUAUCAGUUUGUUGGUGAGGUAGUGGCUCACCAAGGCGAUGACGGGUAGCCGGCCUGAGAGGGCGACCGGCCACACUGGGACUGAGACACGGCCCAGACUCCUACGGGAGGCAGCAGUGGGGAAUAUUGCACAAUGGGCGAAAGCCUGAUGCAGCGACGCCGCGUGAGGGAUGACGGCCUUCGGGUAGUAAACCUCUUUCAGCAGGGAAGAAGCGAAAGUGACGGUACCUGCAGAAGAAGCGCCGGCUAACUACGUG
rnacentral:rRNA from 1 species